rnacentral:rRNA from 1 species
CCUACGGGUGGCAGCAGUGGGGAAUAUUGGACAAUGGGGGGAACCCUGAUCCAGCCAUUCCGCGUGUGUGAAGAAGGCCCUCGGGUUGUAAAGCACUUUCAGUGAGGAAGAACGCCUGGUGGUUAAUACCCAUCAGGAAAGACAUCACUCACAGAAGAAGCACCGGCUAACUCCGUGCCAGCAGCCGCGGUAAUACGGAGGGUGCGAGCGUUAAUCGGAAUUACUGGGCGUAAAGCGCGCGUAGGUGGCUUGAUAAGCCGGUUGUGAAAGCCCCGGGCUCAACCUGGGAACGGCAUCCGGAACUGUCAAGCUAGAGUGCAGGAGAGGAAGGUAGAAUUCCCGGUGUAGCGGUGAAAUGCGUAGAGAUCGGGAGGAAUACCAGUGGCGAAGGCGGCCUUCUGGACUGACACUGACACUGAGGUGCGAAAGCGUGGGUAGCAAACAGGAUUAGAUACCCGUGUAGUC